UCUCCAUGCUUCGUUCGCUUCCAACGUAUAUAAUGAAACGUUAUCAACGAGAUAGUUUACGUGACGUUAGAUCCUUAUCAAUUAGUUGCAAAGGGAGUUAGUUGUAAAAUCGACCUUCGCCGACAGCAUUACGGUUUCUAUUCACAUAAUUUUAAAAUUUAUUUAAAUUCAUUUAAUAACAAAAACGUUAUCGUGAUAGCAUUAUCAAGUCGACAGAUGAUAAUUGAAUGUUAACGCAUGUUCCAGAAACAAUUGAAAAGGUAGCUCUGGUGGACAUUCCAUUGCUUGUCGUCCCGGGCAAUAGUUUCGCAUCAACGGUUUCUAAUUGCAGUUCAUUGCGGGCAAUCCAAUAAACAAUGUUAAUUACA